UGCCGGAUGGCGCAGUGGUUAACGCACCUGUCUAGUAAGGAGGAGGGCCUGGGUUCGAAUCCCGGCCCGGUAC